UACGAAGGGUGCAAGCGUUAAUCGGAAUUACUGGGCGUAAAGCGUGCGUAGGCGGUUUCUUAAGUCUGUCGUGAAAUCCCCGGGCUCAACCUGGGAAUGGCGAUGGAUACUGGACAGCUAGAGUGUGUCAGAGGAUGGUGGAAUUCCCGGUGUAGCGGUGAAAUGCGUAGAGAUCGGGAGGAACAUCAGUGGCGAAGGCGGCCAUCUGGGACAACACUGACGCUGAAGCACGAAAGCGUGGGGAGCAAACAGG
rnacentral:rRNA from 1 species